UGAGAUGUGCUAUACUCUUUGAGACAGUAAAGUUUAAUGACGGUGGCGAUUUCCAAGAAGGUGGUGGUGCUUAUGGAUGUAAGUACUAAAAUCUACGAAAGGAGUAGCCUUUUGUCCGCAUACGAGACAAUUCAAAUCAUUCUUGGCUUUGGUAUGUUUACCAUUUCUUUGAUUGGUUUGGU
rfam:Enterococcus villorum ATCC 700913 genomic scaffold acvIF-supercont1.6, whole genome shotgun sequence.